rnacentral:lncRNA from 1 species
ACGAUCCUCUAGUUUGGGUAUACGACCUCUUUGAAUGCACAUUGUUAUCAAAACCAAUUGCGUCAAUGGCAGCUAAAAGGAUUACAGAAAUGAGUAGGGGAAAGAGGGGUAAGAUGACGACCUUAAGAUUUGUCGAUUUUUCCUAAUUUCUGUGAUGGUGUAAAAAUAAUCUUUUUUUUUUAGAUUCACUAAAACCUUUUGUAUCUACCUUAAAAAUUAAAAGCUGUUAAAUAAAUUAGAAAUUUUAAUUUCCU